AACGAACGCUGGCGGCAGGCUUAACACAUGCAAGUCGAACGGGUGUAGCAAUACAUCAGUGGCAGACGGGUGAGUAACACGUGGGAACCUUCCUAGGGGUACGGAACAACUCAGGGAAACUUGCGCUAAUACCGUAUACGUCCGUGAGGAGAAAGAUUUAUCGCCCUUAGACGGGCCCGCGUCGGAUUAGCUAGUUGGUGGGGUAACGGCCUACCAAGGCGACGAUCCGUAGCUGAUCUUAGAGGAUGAUCAGCCACACUGGGACUGAGACACGGCCCAGACUCCUACGGGAGGCAGCAGUGGGGAAUCUUGGACAAUGGGCGCAAGCCUGAUCCAACCAUGCCGCGUGAGUGAAGAAGGUCUUCGGAUUGUAAAGCUCUUUUGCCAGGGACGAUAAUGACGGUACCUGGAGAAUAAGCCCCGGCAAACUUCGUGCCAGCAGCCGCCGUAA
rnacentral:rRNA from 1 species